AUACAAUCUUUCAAUAUAUAUUUUUCAAGAUUAUGAGAUACAAAUUGUCUCCUCCCUACCUCCACUUUCUUGAGAUGGUAAACAAUUUUCUCUUGAUUAGACAUAUUUCCAUAUUGGUCAAUUUGUGAGAAAAUACUCAUAUAAAUCUGACCUCCCACCCUUAAAAAAACACCCAGAGAAAUAAAAUAUAGUGAAAAAAUAGUAUGCCUCAAUAUGCAUUUAGAUUCCAUGAGUUCUUUUUUUUCCUGGGAGUGAACAGCAUUCUUUGUCAUAAAUCCCUUAGAAUACUUUUAGACCAAUCAUUGCUAAAAGAAGCUAUGUCCAUCACAGAUGAUCUUCAUACAAUAUUGCUCUUAUUAUGUACAAUGUUUUACUUGUUCUGCUUACUUUACCCCAUCAUUGGUGCAUGUAGGUCUUUCUAGCAUUUUUUGAAAUCUUCCUGCUUAUCAUUUACUAUACAUGAUAGUGUUAAAAGGAUUUUCUUAAUCUGUUCUUUUUUGUCUCUUUAAGAGGCAGGAGAGGAGGAUUUCUAAGUAGGGCAGAACUGACAUGGGUCAGUGAGUCAGAGCUGAAGAUUCUGUUACCAAGGUGAUGAGGGGAGAGAUAAGGAAGGAAUCAGCUGGUAAUUAUGUCUUUUACCUUUGGAUCUUGAGAGAAUCAAAACUGAGACUCCAAGUUCCAAGGAAGAAAAAUGGGGACUUCUCCUUUGGAGUUUGUCUUUGGGGACUCUGCAUCAGUGAACUGGACUGAAGGAGGAAACUCCCUGGAUCCUGCAUUGACUUGCUGGGUGAGUAUCUGGCCUUCCUUUCCUGGCUUUGAGAGAUUGGUUCCAGAGAGGCUUUCCUUUCCUGGAGGAGGCAUAUUUAGUAUAAAGCCUAAAUUUAAAUUCUUACAGAUGGCAAAAAAAUUGGAAAAUGAAGGAUGUCCCUCCAUUGGGGAAUGGCUGAGCAAAUUGUGGUAUCUGAUGGGGAUGGACUAUCAUUGUGCUGAAAGGAAUGAUGAACUAGAGGGAUUCCAUGUGAACUGGGAGAACUGAUGCAGAGUGAAAGGAGCAGAACCAGGAGAGCAUUGUACUCAGAGAGUAAAACAUUGUGGAACAAUCCAAUAUAAUGGCCUUUGCUACUAGUAGCAAUGCAACAAUCCAGGACACUCCUGAAGUGCUUAUGGGAAAAUAUUCUAACCACAUUAAGACAAAGAACUAUGGGAGUAGAAAUGCAAAAGAAGAACAUAUGAUUUCACACACAUGUAUGUAUAUAUGUAUAUGUGUGUAUGUGUUUUGGGGUUUAGGCUUUUAAAAAUUGCUCUAUAGCACAAAUGAAUAAUAUGGAAAUAGGCAUCAAGUGAUAACAUUUGCACAACCCAGUGGAAUUUCUUGUCUGCUAUGGGAUGGGAAUGGGGAGAGGGGAAAGAAAGUAAACAGAUUAUGUAAACAUGGAAAAAUAUUUAAA
rnacentral:lncRNA from 1 species